GUGUGCUGUUGGGCAGGCCUGAGGUGCUAGAUCCCAUCUAAACUUGGAAACUAAGAAGGGUGAGACCUGAUUUGUACUGGAUGGUAGACCACCAAAGAAUAUCAGGUGCUGUAGCCA
rnacentral:rRNA from 1 species